AAAAGCUGAAGCCAGAUCUUAAUUUGAGAGCAGAAUAGCUGAGGCUUUGAAAAAAAGGGAAAGAAUAGGAAGGCAGUCACUGUGCACCCAAAAAUCUCCUUAGCAGCCUUCAUAAUACAGAGCUCUGUAAGGCACUUUUCACUCUUAGAUUCUGUCACCUGUGUGUCCCUGCCUCUGCCCUUUUGCUCUUGUGCCAGUGCUUGCUCAGGCAGGUUCUGUACCAGAAUUGAAGGGAUGUGUUUCUGAAAGCUGGACUUCAGAAGGAGUCUCCUUUCUGACUCUUCUUUGCUCUGCUCCUUUUUGGAAAGGUCAGAAUCCCUGUGGGAAGGACCUCUGUGUCACUGAGGGCCAGUUCACGGUGUCAUCUUUGAGAGUGACAGAAGUCCCAGGACCUCUCAGUGCCGUUCAAACCUAGCAAUGAGAGGAUGUUGAUUCUAUAACCCUGGCAGAGAAAGGAGAAACACCUGAGACUAAUGAGCACUGGAUGAAAGCUCCUGUGCACUUCAGCUGUGGCUUCCACCAAGGUAAAUUGCAAAACUUUCAUCAGAAUUGCUACAAGAAAGAGCUUAUCCUGAA
rnacentral:lncRNA from 1 species